rnacentral:rRNA from 1 species
GAUGAACGCUGGCGGCGUGCCUAAUACAUGCAAGUCGAGCGAACGGACGAGAAGCUUGCUGCUCUGAUGUUAGCGGCGGACGGGUGAGUAACACGUGGAUAACCUACCUAUAAGACUGGGAUAACUUCGGGAAACCGGAGCUAAUACCGGAUGAUAUUUUGAACCGCAUGGUUCAAAAGUGAAAGACGGUCUUGCUGUCACUUAUAGAUGGAUCCGCGCUGCAUUAGCUAGUUGGUAAGGUAACGGCUUACCAAGGCAACGAUGCAUAGCCGACCUGAGAGGGUGUUCGGCGACACUGGAACUGAGCCACGGUCCAGGCUCCUACGGGAGGCAGCAGUAGGGAAUCUUCCGCAAUGGGCGGAAGCCUGACGGAGCAGCGCCGCGUGAGUGAUGAAGGUCUUCGGAUCGUAAAACUCUGUUAUUAGGGAAGAACAUAUGUGUAAGUAACUGUGCACAUCUUGACGGUACCUAAUCAGAAAGCCACGGCUAACUACGUG